rnacentral:tRNA from 1 species
GGGAAGGUAGCUCAGUGGUAGAGUGCUUGUCUUGCAUGCAUGAGGCCCUGGGUUUGAUUCCUCAGCACCA